CUCUCUGCUUUUACCCCUUUUCUUUCCAGUGAAAAAGCCUGUGGAAGAGUGUUCCUUUGGGACCAGAAGACCUGCAUUCCUCAAACUGACCCCAAACAAUGGCAAAAGGAUCAGCCUCCUGCCACAGGAAGAGGUCUCCUUUAUACAGUGGUAGCUGCCAGUGCAAGAGCAAGGAAUCUAGCUCUGCUGUGACCAUGCCCUGAUCCUCGUCGUCAUCUACUGCRUUUUCUUGACCUUCUGCAGGAUAUGUGAUGUGCAGGUCCUGGGUCCUCCCUCUGAGCUGUGCACAUGGGUGCUCGCUGAGGAGGGGGGCAGCACUGCAUCUGUGAACGCCACGUGGGAAAUCAGCAAUGGCAGARGACCCUGCCAGGCUCCUGUGUGUUUGGUUGCCACCAUCUCGUCAGGGGUCUAAGAGGGAACGUGAAGGUCUGCGUAGAGCAGUGCCACCAUCUCUUGGGAAGGCUGCGACAUCUCUGGAAAGGCUGCGACAUCUCUGGAAAGGCAGCUCUUCCUUUCCAUUUUUCAGGAUAUAGAGAGCAGCAACUAACUCGUGAGAUGAAAUGUAAGGUAUUGAUUUAGCCUUGUGUUCCCUGGUCCUUUCAGCUUCCUCUUGCAUCCCAGGACUGAGGGAUACAUGGUGCUGCCCCUAACUGAUUGCUCUCUACUCUUCUUCACUCAAGUGCAUUCUUGAAACAAGGGUACAGGCAGAGAGGUACAGGAGAGUGGAGCUGUUGGGAAAAGAGCUGCUAGUGUACAUGGAUGGGGCACAGUGAGUCAAUGCACUUAUUUUCAGCAUUUGGUCCCAGGGCAGAAUAUCACUAGUUUAUCUGUAGAGAUGAACUAAAAUAUCCCAUUUCUGGUCACCUUAAGAACAGAUAGUGUCAGAAAAGUCAGGAAAGCAUUUCCCUUCUAAACAAGGAAUAUACCUGCAAAAAAAAAAAAAUUAAUGCUCUCCUUACAUAGCUUGCCUUUAGAUUGCAGAAAAGAGCACAAGCCAAGGGACUGGACUAAAGCAGGGCUGAUGCUGAAGGGGAAACCGACUGCAUCUGCCUGAGCAUGGAAGGAGUAGAGAAAUGCAUGAUCCAAGCUGCUUUACUUUUGUUGCCUGUUUUUUUGGAUUUGGGUGAGUUAUGGCAUACAGAGAGCAGAGAGCUUUGCCCA